GACUUGACGGUGUCCCACCCAUACUAGAGGAGCCUGUCCUAUAAUCGACACCCCACGCUAUACCUUACCCCCCCUAGCCAACCAACCUAUAUACCGCCGUCGCCAGCUCACACUGUGAAUGCACCACCGUAAGCACAAUCAUCACCCAUUAAAACGACAGGUCAAGGUGUAGUUAAUGGGGGGGCAGCGAUGGGCUACAUUUUCUUCACUAGAAAAUACCACCCGCACCAUGAAACCUUUGCCCACAGGUGGAUUUAGAAGUAAGCCCUGACAAGACAUGUCAACCUGAAAUACGCCCUGGGACG
rnacentral:rRNA from 1 species